GAAAGUUGGUUUGGAGUCAGGUCCUUGGGCUUGCCUGCGGUUUGUUACGAACACACGCUUGCCUUAAAUGCAUUAGCUGGAUUUCAGUAGAGUUGUUAAGUAACAUUGAAAACUCUCGUAAUAUGAAGUCUGCUUUCUAACGGAAUUUUAUUCAUUAUAUCUUUGGCCUCAAAUCAGGUAGGACUACCCGCUGAACUUAA
rnacentral:misc_RNA from 1 species